rnacentral:rRNA from 1 species
ACUCCUACGGGAGGCAGCAGGAAGGAAUAUUGGGCAAUGGGCGAAAGCCUGACCCAGCGACGCCGCGUGAAGGAUGAAGGCCUUCGGGUUGUAAACUUCUAACAAGUGUUAGUAAGGCCACGUAUAAUAAUACGAUAUGUGGAUAGAAAAAAGCACCGGAUGAAGUCAUGGCUAACUCUGUGCCAGCAGCCGCGGUAAUACAGAGAUGGCAACCGUUGUUCGGAAUCACUGGGCUUAAAGAGCACGUAGGCGGAAAGUUAAGUUGGAUGUGAAAUCCCAUGGCUU